rnacentral:rRNA from 1 species
GCCAGACUCCUACGGGAGGCAGCAGUGGGGAAUAUUGCACAAUGGGGGAAACCCUGAUGCAGCGACGCCGCGUGAGCGAUGAAGUAUUUCGGUAUGUAAAGCUCUAUCAGCAGGGAAGAAGAUGACGGUACCUGACUAAGAAGCCCCGGCUAACUACGUGCCAGCAGCCGCGGUAAUACGUAGGGGGCAAGCGUUAUCCGGAUUUACUGGGUGUAAAGGGAGCGUAGACGGCAGUGCAAGUCCGGAGUGAAAGCCCGGGGCUCAACCCUGGGACUGCUCUGGAAACUGUAAAGCUGGAGUGCGGGAGGGGCAGGCGGAAUUCCUGGUGUAGCGGUGAAAUGCGUAGAUAUCAGGAGGAACACCGGUGGCGAAGGCGGCCUGCUGGACUGCAACUGACGUUGAGGCCCGAAAGCGUGGGGAGCAAACAGGAUUAGAUACCCCUGUAUG